UUGCAUAUCCAAAUAAGCGGAGGAAAAGAAACUAACAAGGAUUCCCCUAGUAACGGCGAGUGAAGCGGGAAGAGCUCAAAUUUGAAAUCUGGUAGCCUUCGGCUGCCCGAGUUGUAAUCUAGAGAAGUGUUUUCCGUGCCGGCCCAUGUACAAGUCCCUUGGAACAGGGCGUCAUAGAGGGUGAGAAUCCCGUCCUUGACAUGGACCCCCGGUGCUUUGUGAUACACUUUCAACGAGUCGAGUUGUUUGGGAAUGCAGCUCAAAAUGGGUGGUGAAUUCCAUCUAAAGCUAAAUAUUGGCGAGAGACCGAUAGCGAACAAGUACCGUGAGGGAAAGAUGAAAAGCACUUUGGAAAGAGAGUUAAACAGUACGUGAAAUUGUUGAAAGGGAAACGAUUGAAGUCAGUCAUGCUCUUUGGAUUCAGCCGUUCUGCGGUGUAUUUCCAUUGAGUGGGGUCAACAUCAGUUUUGACCGCUGGAUAAAGGCACUAGGAAGGUAGCACUCUCGGGUGAACUUAUAGCCUAGCGUCAUAUACAGUGGUUGGGACUGAGGAACGCAGCAUGCCUUUAUGGCCGGGAUUCGUCCACGUACAUGCUUAGGAUUUAACAAAAAUUUUUUUUU
rnacentral:rRNA from 1 species